GUAAAAUAUGACAUUUCAUAUGAUAAUUACUUUGGCAGAUGUUCUUUGCUUACGGCCUUCUUUCUUUUUUAUUGAGAUGUUAAAUCUGCCACAUUCAGGCUGGGAUCUACUGAAAUUGCAUCAGAGUCAAGUCAGAAGCCAGGCUAACGCUUCAAGCUGGGCUGCACUGUGUUCAAAGCUGCUCAAGACAUUACAGAGCCUAAUCAGACAUUCCAUGGGCCAUCUUAGCUGCAACAGCACUGCUGCUGCAAGAUGUUUUAGCAGUGAGGGCACUCGGGCAUUUUGCUGCAUGUGGUCGCAAAUGAAACAUGGAGGGAAACAGAAAACCCUUGGCCAGUGGAGCAGAAAAGGAGCGACAGAAAAAGUGAACCUGAGGCAGGCUGGGAAGUUUGGAAGAAGACAUCUGUGCAGGGACCUCUAUGGAGACAGGUGUGUGACCACCAGGUAGUACCGCUGCACAAUACAAUUUCAAAGAAAGUGUAAUAUUUGGCAUAUGCCUGAUAAUAAAAUGUAACCUUGUCCCAAAAGCCUUAACCUUGUCACAUGACACCUGUCAGUCAAUGCAGAGGGCCAUUUUACCAGAGGCAGGUUGGUGAAAGUACCUGCAGCAGACACCAGAAGAAAUGAGUGACAGCAGACGUGCUCCUAAGUUGUAUGAGUAAAGCUUUGAAAAAUACUAAAUAAACUCCAUAUAAGGUUGUCAUAAGCAAUCCUCAACAAUUCUGAGGUUGUGGUUAGGUAAUAAGUGAUAAACAGUGAAACCCAAUCAGCGAACUUUGUGUGGGAAAGGGAAUGGGAACAACCAAAUUGGUCAGGUUUUUUUUUUUUAAAGGGGACCUAAAGUGAUGGUUGAGCCAACCCACUGAAAGGACAUCAGGCUCUUUGAACCUUGGAGUGCAGACCCCAAAACCACAGUCAGCCAACUUCCAUGAUUUCUGUAUUGUGGUAGGACACCUGCAGAUUUAAUAGCAUCAAUUACCGCCUUACAUGUACGCCGGGUACAGUUUGGACUUUGACUUGAACACUGACUUGACUCCAGAGGAUUAUUUUCUUUUGAACUUACCUUCCGUAUGGUGGAAGGACUGUGUGUGCAGCCAUCACGGGUUGUGUGGAAGACUGAAAUACACAUGAUUAUGAUGUAUGGUAGUGUCUGAAUUAUGGGCAUAUACUGUAAUAU